rnacentral:rRNA from 1 species
ACUAGAAGCCGAUGAAGGACGUUACUAACGACGAUAUGCUUUGGGGAGCUGUAAGUAAGCUUUGAUCCAGAGAUUUCCGAAUGGGGAAACCCAGCAUGAGUUAUGUCAUGUUAUCGAUAUGUGAAUACAUAGCAUAUCAGAAGGCACACCCGGAGAACUGAAACAUCUUAGUACCCGGAGGAAGAGAAAGAAAAUUCGAUUCCCUUAGUAGCGGCGAGCGAAACGGGAAGAGCCCAAACCAACAAGCUUGCUUGUUGGGGUUGUAGGACACUCUAUACGGAGUUACAAAGGACGACAUUAGACGAAUCAUCUGGAAAGAUGAAUCAAAGAAGGUAAUAAUCCUGUAGUCGAAAAUGUUGUCUCUCUUGAGUGGAUCCUGAGUACGACGGAGCACGUGAAAUUCCGUCGGAAUCUGGGAGGACCAUCUCCUAAGGCUAAAUACUCUCUAGUGACCGAUAGUGAACCAGUACCGUGAGGGAAAGGUGAAAAGCACCCCGGAAGGGGAGUGAAAUAGAACCUGAAACCGUGUGCUUACAAGUAGUCAGAGCCCGUUAAUGGGUGAUGGCGUGCCUUUUGUAGAAUGAACCGGCGAGUUACGAUUUGAUGCAAGGUUAAGCAGUAAAUGUGGAGCCGUAGCGAAAGCGAGUCUGAAUAGGGCGUUUAGUAUUUGGUCGUAGACCCGAAACCAGGUGAUCUACCCUUGGUCAGGUUGAAGUUCAGGUAACACUGAAUGGAGGACCGAACCGACUUACGUUGAAAAGUGAGCGGAUGAACUGAGGGUAGCGGAGAAAUUCCAAUCGAACCUGGAGAUAGCUGGUUCUCUCCGAAAUAGCUUUAGGGCUAGCCUCAAGUGAUGAUUAUUGGAGGUAGAGCACUGUUUGGACGAGGGGCCCCUCUCGGGUUACCGAAUUCAGACAAACUCCGAAUGCCAAUUAAUUUAACUUGGGAGUCAGAACAUGGGUGAUAAGGUCCGUGUUCGAAAGGGAAACAGCCCAGACCACCAGCUAAGGUCCCAAAAUAUAUGUUAAGUGGAAAAGGAUGUGGCGUUGCCCAGACAACUAGGAUGUUGGCUUAGAAGCAGCCAUCAUUUAAAGAGUGCGUAAUAGCUCACUAGUCGAGUGACACUGCGCCGAAAAUGUACCGGGGCUAAACAUAUUACCGAAGCUGUGGAUUGUCCUUUGGACAAUGGUAGGAGAGCGUUCUAAGGGCGUUGAAGCAUGAUCGUAAGGACAUGUGGAGCGCUUAGAAGUGAGAAUGCCGGUGUGAGUAGCGAAAGACGGGUGAGAAUCCCGUCCACCGAUUGACUAAGGUUUCCAGAGGAAGGCUCGUCCGCUCUGGGUUAGUCGGGUCCUAAGCUGAGGCCGACAGGCGUAGGCGAUGGAUAACAGGUUGAUAUUCCUGUACCACCUAUAAUCGUUUUAAUCGAUGGGGGGACGCAGUAGGAUAGGCGAAGCGUGCGAUUGGAUUGCACGUCUAAGCAGUAAGGCUGAGUAUUAGGCAAAUCCGGUACUCGUUAAGGCUGA